AGAAUCAACGCUGGCGGCGUGCCUAACACAUGCAAGUCGAACGCGAAAGUCCCGCAAGGGAUGAGUAGAGUGGCAAACGGGUGAGUAACACGUGGGUGACCUGCCUUCGAGCGGGGAUAACGUCCCGAAAGGGACGCUAAUACCGCAUGACAUCCUGCCUUUGAAGAGGUGGAGAUCAAAGCUGGGGAUCGCAAGACCUAGCACUUGAAGAGGGGCCCGCGUCUGAUUAGCUAGUUGGUGGGUAACGCUCACCAAGGCAACGAUC
rnacentral:rRNA from 1 species